rnacentral:rRNA from 1 species
CUCCUACGGGAGGCAGCAGUGGGGAAUAUUGCACAAUGGGCGCAAGCCUGAUGCAGCAACGCCGCGUGAGGGACGACGGCCUUCGGGUUGUAAACCUCUUUUAGCAAGGAAGAAGCGAAAGUGACGGUACUUGCAGAAAAAGCGCCGGCUAACUACGUGCCAGCAGCCGCGGUAAUACGUAGGGCGCAAGCGUUAUCCGGAAUUAUUGGGCGUAAAGAGCUCGUAGGCGGUUUGUCGCGUCUGCUGUGAAAACCCGAGGCUCAACCUCGGGCCUGCAGUGGGUACGGGCAGACUAGAGUGCGGUAGGGGAGAUUGGAAUUCCUGGUGUAGCGGUGGAAUGCGCAGAUAUCAGGAGGAACACCGAUGGCGAAGGCAGAUCUCUGGGCCGUAACUGACGCUGAGGAGCGAAAGGGUGGGGAGCAAACAGGCUUAGAUACCCUGGUAGUCCACCCCGUAAACGUUGGGAACUAGUUGUGGGGUCCAUUCCACGGAUUCCGUGACGCAGCUAACGCAUUAA